GGAGUAAAGUAUAUGGAAGGAAUAAUUUAAAAGUUUAACCAUAGAGUGCAAGUGUACUAAAGAAGAAGAUGAAGCCAUGACAGAAGGGAAGAGUUCGGUAUAGGUGUUCUGAUUUAUGAGAUGGAAGUACCUGUGGGACUGAAGGAUUGUUGGAGCCAGUGACCUAAAGAGAAUGGACUGAGAAUAUAGGAAGCAGUGGUCAUAAAACAGAAAACUUGGAAUAGAGGUUAUGGAAAGGUUGAAAUUAUUGAAAAAAUAAUUAUAAAGUUUAGUGAAUGACCAAGAAGUGAGUGACUGAAGUAAGGUAGAGAACAAGGUCAUCGGAAGAGAGGAGUUCAAGGAACCAAGAGGCCAGAAUAUUGGAGGGAUCAUCUUCAUAUAUACUGAAGUUACUAAGAAGCAAGAUGGAAAUAGCGCCGAAGAGAAGGACCUGAUCCAACAGCCAUCCUCAAAGAGUUUAAUGAAUGUGGUACCACAAGCAAAAUGUACGUCCACAUUGAAAGGAUUCUGAAUAUGUGGGCCUACUUUUCUAGAAGAUUGUAAUAAAAGCCACCAAAGCAAUUCUGGACCACUGCACAAAUUAUCUUGAAGAAAACGAGUCUUUUUCCCCACGGGUACAUUGGUCAGGUUUGUCACUACAAAGACUGCUUUCCUUUCCACAUCCUGUAAGAAUGGAAGAAAAAACAAAAAUAGAAGAUUAAAAAUGAACUUGAAGUGUCUGUAUUUCUGUAUCUCUUAUUAUUUUAAGGCUGCUUUGUUAUGAUACUGAAAAUGUCAAAACCUCCAUUGAAAAAUGUGUAGGUACAUAGAGAAAAUAUGUAAGAAACAAAAAUCAGUAAAGAUGUCUAAAUCUCUUAUUUACAAUUUAUGUAAUUCUGCCACUUAUAGUAAACUGAUAGGCAACAAUUAAAACAAUAGCAUGCUCAGUUUUCUGAUGUAACAUAAAAGCUGUAGAGAAAGGCAAUGCAUGAACAAAGAAUAAAGCACAUUCAAGAAAAUAAAAAGUUUAAAUG
rnacentral:lncRNA from 13 species